rnacentral:rRNA from 1 species
AGGGUUUGAUCAUGGCUCAGGAUGAACGCUGGCGGCGUGCUUAACACAUGCAAGUCGAACGAACCUUCGGGUUAGUGGCGGACGGGUGAGUAACGCGUGAGAAUCUGCCCUCAGGAGGGGGAUAACGGUUGGAAACGACCGCUAAUACCCCAUAUGCCUACGGGUGAAAUGAAUUUCGCCUGAGGAUGAGCUCGCGUCUGAUUAGCUAGUUGGUGAGGUAAUGGCUCACCAAGGCUUCGAUCAGUAGCUGGUCUGAGAGGAUGAUCAGCCACACUGGGACUGAGACACGGCCCAGACUCCUACGGGAGGCAGCAGUGGGGAAUUUUCCGCAAUGGGCGAAAGCCUGACGGAGCAACGCCGCGUGAGGGACGAAGGCCUCUGGGCUGUAAACCUCUUUUCUCAAGGAAGAAGAUAUGACGGUACUUGAGGAAUAAGCCACGGCUAAUUCCGUGCCAGCAGCCGCGGUAAUACGGGAGUGGCAAGCGUUAUCCGGAAUUAUUGGGCGUAAAGCGUCCGCAGGCGGCUUUUCAAGUCUGCUGUUAAAACGUGGAGCUUAACUCCAUCAUGGCAGUGGAAACUGAAAGGCUUGAGUAUGGUAGGGGCAGAGGGAAUUCCCGGUGUAGCGGUGAAAUGCGUAGAUAUCGGGAAGAACACCAGUGGCGAAGGCGCUCUGCUGGGCCAUUACUGACGCUCAUGGACGAAAGCCAGGGGAGCGAAAGGGAUUAGAUACCCCUGUAGUCCUGGCCGUAAACGAUGAACACUAGGUGUCGGGGGAAUCGACCCCUUCGGUGUCGUAGCUAACGCGUUAAGUGUUCCGCCUGGGGAGUACGCACGCAAGUGUGAAACUCAAAGGAAUUGACGGGGGCCCGCACAAGCGGUGGAGUAUGUGGUUUAAUUCGAUGCAACGCGAAGAACCUUACCAGGGUUUGACAUCCUGCGAACCUCUUAGAAAUUUGAGGGUGCCUUCGGGAAUGCAGUGACAGGUGGUGCAUGGCUGUCGUCAGCUCGUGUCGUGAGAUGUUGGGUUAAGUCCCGCAACGAGCGCAACCCACGUUUUUAGUUGCCAGCAUUUAGUUGGGCACUCUAGAAAGACCGCCGGUGAUAAACCGGAGGAAGGUGUGGAUGACGUCAAGUCAUCAUGCCCCUUACACCCUGGGCUACACACGUACUACAAUGCUACGGACAAAGGGCAGCAAACUCGCGAGAGCUAGCAAAUCCCAUAAACCGUGGCUCAGUUCAGAUCGUAGGCUGCAACUCGCCUACGUGAAGUAGGAAUCGCUAGUAAUCGCAGGUCAGCAUACUGCGGUGAAUACGUUCCCGGGCCUUGUACACACCGCCCGUCACACCAUGGAAGUUGGCCAUGCCCGAAGUCGUUACUCCAACCCUUGUGGAGGAGGACGCCGAAGGUGGGGCUAAUGACUGGGGUGAAGUCAUAACAAGGUAGCCGUA